UGACAGUUUCUCCCUCGGCUCUUCAUUUUCUUCUUAUCUCUGUAUAUAAUGUACGGCUGCCUUUUUGAUUUAUCUCACAUAUUCUGCCUCGCCUGCGAUUUAUGUUUUGUGGUGGCUUGCCUCUACUCUCUCAGUUUUUUUUUCCACCUGAUUUAGGUUUUAGGGUAAAUGGAUGCAGUUUUGGUGUGUAUAUCAACUGGGAUUAUGCGGCACACCUUCAUAAGGGAUGGUUCCCCCAAAAAACGUGGCAGGCCGGAGCUGUGUCUGAUACAAGAGGUUGCAGAGGAGCGCAGGGCGGUGAAGCGAGAAAUGCUGCUCGUCGGGACCCAGAUAAAAUAAUCAAUCUUAUCAAGCUACAAAUCUACAAUUGGCCUGUGACUGAAAGUUUCAGAUAUGAAAUCAGUUGGAACCCUGCCAUUUGAGAAUCUCCCGGUUGGCACUCAACCAAGAAUGUCGGGUCCAUAAGGCACAAAAUUUUUUCUCGCAAUUGUAGGAAUCUGGUUGUUGUUUCCAGCAUCAACAGAUGUCCUUCUUGGGGAUGUUGGUGCUGGAAAAUCAAGUCUGGUUUUGCCUUUUGUCAAAGGGCAAUUUGUCGAAUUUUAGGUGCUGCCUUCUUCUCACAAACAGUGGCUGUAAAUGACGCAACUGUAAAAUUUGAAAUUUGGGACACUGCUGGUCAAGAGAGAUAUCAUAGCUUAGCCCCAAUGUACUAUAGAGGAGCUGCAGCUGCUAUAAUAGUGUAUGAUAUAACAAACCAAGUAUAAUUCACCUGGUGCAUUGAUCUUCGCAUACUUGGUGUCAUAACUGGAUCAGAAUUGUGAUGCCAAAUUUUUUGCCUGCAAUUUCUUGAACUAGAAACAAAACAUCUUUUAAGUGGUAACAUCAUCCAAUGUGUAAUAUAAGUAUAACUUUGAUACACAUUUUAGUUAUGGGAUGCAGAGACUGGUAAAGAAGUUAGCUGAUACACUGAGCACGGUAACAGGGCUUGGUCUGUAGAAUUUUCACAAGUUUCUACGAAAUUAGCUAGCAGGGGUGAUGAUCGCUGUGUGAAACUCUGGGAUACCAAUCAGAACAGCAGUGUAAUGACAAUCGGGAUUAUUGCACCUGUCUGCUGCGUUCAGUUCCAUUCGAAAUCCAGAAUUUGCUUGCCUUUGGUGGUGCAAACUACAAUACAUACUGCAUGCAUCUUCAAAAUCCUGAAUAAACAUGGUGUAUGUUAGGCGGCCAUGCCAGUGCUGUUAGCUAUAAAAAAAAAAUUUAGAUUCAUAAAGCGUCAUUCUGCAUCUACUGGCAGUAAACUAAAAAUUUUGGACCUCAACAAGCGCGGAAGUUGCAUUUCAACCCUUGCUGGACAUACUAAUGAAAAGGUGUUUGCAUAUCAUAGAUCCUUUUCAAUGCCGAUCACUUCUCACAAGUUCAGCUUGGCUGAUGAUGAUGACGGACGUUUUGUUUCAGCUGUUUGUUCGCAAAAGCAAUCUGAGAUGCUGGUUGCUGCUAAUUCCGUUGGAUCCAUAAAACUAUUGCAUAUGGUUUGAAUGCCUGUUCUGUUAGUGUAGUUGAUUACAGAAUUGCAGCAGUGUUGUUUCUUGUCAUGACAAAAUAGAAUCGGUGUUUUUUUGUAUUCUGCUAAAUAAAGGAGAGUGCUAUCAAAUUUUUGUGUUAAAUAUGAUGGCAUCUUCAAAUGUGACCUGAAUUUGCAACUUAGUUCUCACAAGAGUUGUAUGCUGACCUUUCCCUCGAGCAGACCUCAAAUGUGAAUACUACUAAUACAAGCAGAGAUCAUCAUGUUUCUUUUUUAUU